GCCAAGAAGCGCUAGCUCAGGUUACCUACCAAGAAACUGGAGAGCUCUCAUUGAGUUCACCUUAAAAAAGGAAAGCAGAAGAUUUUAUCUGCGGGACAGUCGCUGGCCAGUCCGCUCUCGGGACGGCGCACCCACCUUCAAGCUCGAGAAGCUCUACCGAAUUCAAGAAACACUUCUGUCCAGAGCUACAGCCGCAACAGCGCAAACGCUGGCAACAUACUGGGCAAUUUCACUUGGUGAAUAGAGCAAGUCUGACACGUACUUUUGCAGUAGAUACUGUGUACAAAUAUUUGCUAUUGACUUAAGUCUUUUUAUUUAUUUAUUUAUUUUUACAGAGCACGCAACACCAAGCAGCCCAUGGCUUCAGGGAUCCGUUUUCUCUCUUUUCACAUUCCCCGAGAUAAAUAUCAGCAGCAGAACGGACCCAAGAGCAGAAACAGGCAGCGCAUCUUUGUUUUUUGGUGUUUUCCUGUUAGACCGAUUAUUUCCCAACACCCCCCGAGAGGAGACGGCGAAAGUCACAGAGCAGAGCAGCAGCUUUCCUCCUUCCUAACCAUCUCAGCCUACUUAGCUUGCCGAUAUAGUAAACCACUCAUAGCGCCCGCAGGGCACACACCGAGACGCACGCCACGAGAACGCUUCGCCUCCAGCCGUUCGCCGAAACUCUUAAGAACGAAAUCGCCGCACACCCCCUCCAGGCGCAUUAAGUUA